CGAUGCCUAUCGCAUCUUUCCCUUCGGGGACAGAAGUGACAGGUGGUGCAUGGUUGUCGUCAGCUCGUGUCGUGAGAUGUUGGGUUAAGUCCCGCAACGAGCGCAACCCUUGCCUUUAUUGCCAGCAUUAAGUUGGGCACUCUAGAGGGACUGCCAGGGAUAACCUGGAGGAAGGUGGGGAUGACGUCAAAUCAUCAUGCCCCUUAUGCUUAGGGCUACACACGUGCUACAAUGGGUGGUACAGAGGGCAGCCAAGUCGUGAGGCCGAGCUAAUCCCUUAAAGCCAUUCUCAGUUCGGAUUGUAGGCUGAAACUCGCCUACAUGAAGCUGGAGUUACUAGUAAUCGCAGAUCAGAAUGCUGCGGUGAAUGCGUUCCCGGGUCUUGUACACA
rnacentral:rRNA from 1 species